AAACAGUAUGCGUUCUUUAAUAUUUGUUUAUGCCUAAGCCACACAUAUGGUUUCCGUACUUCAAUGUGUACUACAAUAAAAUUAUGCACAUAUGGUAUUUUAGAAGUUUGACACUCAUCAGCUGAUGCAAAAAAAUUUAAAUCAAAUAAAAGAAAAUAAACAUGGACACGGAAAAAUGGAUCCAAUCUUAGUUAACUGCAAACAAAAUUAAAAUAUUAAAUUAUAUGAGGAAGAAAAUUAAAUAUUUAAAAUUAGCAAUGUUGGCUUUGAAAAGGAGCAAAUUAUACAAAAGGAUUGCCUUAAAAAAGAGGAAUUUGAAACGACACCGGACCUACUGGUAUUUGGUGAAACGCACAAAAUUUUGGGAAAGUGAUGUUGGACAGCCGGGAGACUUUCUUCUAUUUAGUAGAUCUACUAAAAAAUGUGCGCAAAAAUAACACCUUCUACCUUUACAAAAACGAAUUGCUGUAGCUCUGUAUGCAUUAGCUUCUUCUGCUGAGUAUAGAACGAUUGGAAGUCUCUUUGGAGUGGGACGCUCUACGGUAGGGCAGAGACGUUUGUAAGGAAAUAUACGAAGUGUACCAAAACAAAGUGUUUGAUGCAUAUCCUCCAACGGACACGAAAGUCGACGAAUUAAGACGUAGUUUUAAUCGUUUGGGAUUCCCCCAAUGUUAUGGCGCCAUAGAUGGUUGCCACAUAGAAGUCAAGCCUCCAAAGAACGAAGCCUGCGAUUAUUUUAAUUUUAAAGGACGGUAUUCAACGGUUUUAUUUGCAUCGGUAGAUUAUAGAUGCAGAUUUACAUAUAUUAAUGUUGGGAUACCAGGGUGAAGUAAUGACUCCACCAUAUUUGAACAAUCGGGUUUAAAAAAAUGUCAUUGCGAUAGUGAGGAAUUUAAAAGCCACACAACCGUGAUUGGAGAUAUUGAGGUGCCCAUACUCCUCAUUGGAGAUUCAGCUUUUAAAUUAUCAGAAAUUGUAAUGAAACCAUUUCCAUUUUCAACCGAACAACCGAAAGUGAAAAAGAAUUCAAUAAACGUAUUUCAUUGGUUCGACGGGUGGUAGAAAACGCUUUUCGACAUUUAAAGGCCCGCUUUAGACGCAUUGGUCGAGGUCUGGAAGUCAGUAUAAAAAACGUUAACAUAAUUAUAAAGGCUUGUUGCGUUUUACAUAAUAUAUGCAACAACAGAAAUGACAACAUUAAUCAGAAAUGGAUUGAACAAUUAAUCACCGAAAAUAGCGCAAGGCAGCCUCGAUGGAGCCAUGCAGAUAGAAAUGACUGCAGCAGUGGAAUAGCCAUCAGACAAGCAAUUAUGACAUCUUAUUUACAAAAUGUGUAUUCUUAACAUUUUCAUUCACAGAAUCAACACAUUUAAGUUAUUUGGUUUAGUAUUUUAGUUAAUAUAUGGUUAUUAUAUUCUAAUAUAUAUCUAAUAUAUUACAUUACAGUACGACAUAUUUUUCACACAUUUGAUAUUCUUAAAAUUUGUUUCUCUCUCGUUAAGUAUUUUUAUUUAAUAUAGCCAAAAGAAUGGUGUUGGUUUGUUCCAUUAAAUCAAGAGCCUUCUCUUCGUUUUUAAUAGAUUUAUUAAGAUAUUCUUCCAUUAUCUUUUGUUCCUUUUAAGCGAGUUCGAGGAAGUCUUCAUCAUUGUUUCUCUUUCUCUUUUUUGCAGACGAUGAAGUUGAUGGUAUCUUUUCUAUUUCAUCAUCAUUUGCCAACGUGUCCCCCAAAACGUCCAAUGAAACGGAAUCUGUGGAAUAAGAAGUUUUUAAUCAUAUGUUUAUAUGUACAUACAUACAUGUAUUUGUUUCAUUUGAUAUAUGUAUGUAUGUACACAUGUGCAUACUUAUAUAAAUUAAUAAAUAAAUCAAUGUAAAAAAAA